UUUUAUGCUGUUCCCGUAACACCCAGCACCAGUCCCCAAGGAUGAGUGCUGAAGAUCCAUAGCCAUGGCAGGGCAGGGCCUAGGUACUGAAGGAAGAUCCCACUCAGAGUUCAGUUCCACCCACUGCAAAACGCCCUCCGAGGACCCUCACUAGACCAGUUCCUCCAAGUGCGGUCCGCAGGCUGCCAUCAGCGGGAUCACGGGCCUUGUAUGACCUCUGAAAAUAUGACCUGAAGCAGAUGGAUGCACUCACAUAAGAAACAUCACCUGUGGCCUUCAUCGAAAAUGGGCCUGCUGCUUGAAGAAGUUGGGCUCUUGGAGUUCUCUAGCACAGGGGCCAUGAAAAUCAAUGACUUCCUUGUUUGCUGACGGAGCAGAGGUAGAAUCUCUUGGUGUUUCCACGGAGAAAACACUGACCAUGAAGAGCCAAGAAAGAUGACAUGAUGAAGCCAUCAGGGGAAGCACCAAACAUCCUCAACUCUGCUCACCCAUGGUUUUCUCCCGCCCUCCCAGAGCUCCUCCUGCUGAUGGGCCCCCGACAUGAAACUGGCACUCAGAAUGAAGAAUGCCUUUUCCAGCCUCCCUCGCUGGUGGAGUCUCCGUGUUCCAGCCAAUGAAGUAGGGCAUGCAGUUGCCUGCCCCACUGAAGUCAACUUCAGCCUGAAGAUUGGGAGACUUCCGAAAGUGGAAAACUUGGAAGGAGGAAGCCUGGACAGCCUGCAGUUGAGGGGACCUGCACAAGCUCACAGGACUCUUCAUCACCAUGACACCACGCUCACCGCAAAAUAAAAAUGAUCAAACCUGU
rnacentral:lncRNA from 1 species